UGGAAUAAAACAUAUGGGUUUA
rnacentral:siRNA from 1 species